AGAGUUUGAUCAUGGCUCAGGAUGAACGCUGGCGGCGUGCUUAACACAUGCAAGUCGAACGAUGAGAAGAAGCUUGCUUCUUGGAUUAGUGGCGAACGGGUGAGUAACACGUGAGUAACCUGCCCUUGACUCUGGGAUAAGCACUGGAAACGGUGUCUAAUACCGGAUACGAACUUCAGUCGCAUGGCUAGGAGUUGGAAAGAAUUUCGGUCAAGGAUGGACUCGCGGCCUAUCAGCUAGUUGGUGAGGUAAUGGCUCACCAAGGCGACGACGGGUAGCCGGCCUGAGAGGGUGACCGGCCACACUGGGACUGAGACACGGCCCAGACUCCUACGGGAGGCAGCAGUGGGGAAUAUUGCACAAUGGGCGCAAGCCUGAUGCAGCAACGCCGCGUGAGGGAUGACGGCCUUCGGGUUGUAAACCUCUUUUAGUAGGGAAGAAGCGAAGGGUUUUGCCUGGAGUGACGGUACCUGCAGAAAAAGCACCGGCUAACUACGUGCCAGCAGCCGCGGUAAUACGUAGGGUGCAAGCGUUAUCCGGAAUUAUUGGGCGUAAAGAGCUCGUAGGCGGUUUGUCGCGUCUGCUGUGAAAUCUGGGGGCUCAACCCCCAGCCUGCAGUGGGUACGGGCAGACUAGAGUGCGGGUAGGGGAGAUUGGAAUUCCUGGUGUAGCGGUGGAAUGCGCAGAUAUCAGGAGGAACACCGAUGGCGAAGGCAGAUCUCUGGGCCGUAACUGACGCUGAGGAGCGAAAGCAUGGGGAGCGAACAGGAUUAGAUACCCUAGUAGUCC
rnacentral:rRNA from 1 species